UCAGUGAAUAUGCGCCCAUUUCAAUUUUCCGAUAACUAAUACUACAACGUGGCAUUUCAAGUGAGCGACUAGGUUCGACAAGAGUAGAUACACGUUGUCAACAAAAAGUUUCCAAUUAUUCCAAUCCUCGUACAAUAAAAACAAUUCAGGUGGGAGAAGUUGAUGAAUAAAAAGAUGUAAUAUUACAGAUCAGACUUCAGUUGGAAGAAUACCGCUCCGUAACUUGUUUAAACAGUUUUAGUGUUAGGACGGAAUUUGUAAAUAUCAAAAUGGCGAAAACGUGGUGUGUUAUUGCAGUGUGCAUCUCCAUCAGCUGUAUAAUAAAAUUCAACGACGGCGCAGUAGCUGCUGGGUUUAAAUAUUGCCUUUAUGAAUGUGCAAACUGUAUUGAAUUCUGGGGUGACGAUCUGUAUGAUGGUGAAAAAUGUGCCACCUGUUGUCGCUAUAGCAAUGGUAUAAAAGUAGAUCCACAAUGCAAAGUUUGGGUUAUAAAUAAAAGAAGUUACGCAAAGAAAGAUAGAGAAUAUGUGAACGGUAUUAUAUUCCAACGAAAACGAGCUAGCAGCAGAUAUAUAAGAAAACGUUGGGAUGAAAAUGUGAACUACAAUUCAAUAUUUGGCAGCGAAACAAUGCCAAGCUAUUGUUUUGAAUGAUCAAUUGGUUAUUCCAACAGAUUAUUUCCUUAAAACACAUCUUUAUACUUCACUUACUGGCAGAUAUGAAUUAAGAAUUAGUCUAAUGAAAAAGUAAUAGUAGACAUUCAAACAUGUGAUGCAUUAGUUUCAAGAUAUAAUUGGAGUGUCAUGUAUUGUAGAAAUGAGUUGUGAAGUUUUCACACUGCUGCCACCUGUAGUAAAUGAACAUAAACAUUCCAUGAACACAAACAGUCAUAUCACUGAAAAUAAUAUCAAGGAAAUGAUUGUGAAGCAAAAUACUAAUGAUGUACAAGCACGUUAAAACCAAUGAAAAAUUAAUACCCGGACAGAUUCCAUUGAAAUAAAUGUUUGUAUGUUGUAUUUAUAUAUAAUUUAAUGGACAAACAAGAUUUUAACGCUGUGAGUAGCAUGGACUUUCAAUUUAGUCACAAUAAUUGGAUGUAACAACGGAAAGAAUGAACUAUUGAUGGCCUUUUAUAUCUUGAUGUCUUUGAUAAAAGUAUUUUAAUGAAGGCAUGCAAGAGUCGUGCUUGUUACAAUUGAAUCUGUUUUUAGAUUUCCAUAAACUAAGAAUUAUCUCGUUUAAUAUAAUAUAUUUAAAAAAUAAAUUGUUACUUUUUA